AGAGUUUGAUCCUGGCUCAGAUUGAACGCUGGCGGCAUGCUUUACACAUGCAAGUCGAGCGGCAGCGCGGGGCAACCUGGCGGCGAGCGGCGAACGGGUGAGGAAUACAUCGGAACGUGCCCGAGAGUGGGGGAUAACGCCGCGAAAGCGGCGCUAAUACCGCAUAUUCUCCGAGGAGGAAAGUGGGGGACCGCAAGGCCUCACGCUCACGGAGCGGCCGAUGUCGGAUUAGCUAGUUGGUGGGGUAAAGGCUUACCAAGGCGACGAUCCGUAGCUGGUCUGAGAGGAUGAUCAGCCACACUGGGACUGAGACACGGCCCAGACUCCUACGGGAGGCAGCAGUGGGGAAUUUUGGACAAUGGGGGCAACCCUGAUCCAGCCAUGCCGCGUGCGGGAAGAAGGCCUUCGGGUUGUAAACCGCUUUUAGCCGGGAAGAAAAGGCAGCACCUAAUACGGGCUGUUCUUGACGGUACCGGCGGAAUAAGCACCGGCUAACUACGUGCCAGCCGCCGCGGUAAUUC
rnacentral:rRNA from 1 species